ACUGAGAUUACCUUAUACUUUGCUUUGUUCUCUCUGCCAGAGUCCUACCCACUGUAUUAGUUGUUAGAGUUGUGGAACUUAACCGAAGCUUUCUCUGGAUUCCAGGUAACUUUGUUCUUUUGUUUUUGUUUUUUUCCUGCAGAAUCGAUAUAUGGGCCUGAAAUAUAUUAAGGUAGAGACCAAACUUUUGAAAAUUGACUAGAGAAAUGCUGCUGUUGAGUUUACUUUCUUCUGAAAGAAUAUCUUUUCCUGUAAUGUUUUAAGAAUAUUUUCAGCUGCAUGGCUUGACAGCCUUGGGAUUCCCUCACACAUUCACAGUCUUUUUUGGAUCAGUCUGAUGUGAGCAUGAAAACUGGGAGUUGUGGAGCCCACUUAGGAAAUGAUUGCAAUUGUCCAGGAGACAGAUGAUGGUAAUUAAGUUUCCAUCAGCCUGGAACUCAGGACAGAAGAUACAUAUUCUGUAUGUAGAGGCAGAACUCUUUCUUGAUUUCUCUUUUGCCUUUACCUUUGGUCUCAACACUUGGACUGGUCCUGUAAUUUUGUUUCUCUUUUUGCAAUCCCUAUCCAGAAUCACUGGAGGUCAAAUGUCUUUGCCAAUUUGAGUUUUUCCACUUGAACAAGAAAAGACUGUCAAGGGAAAGCCAAUCAAUUUCACAAUGUUUAGGUGCUGAAGAUACAGGGCACAGCUUCCUUCUUGAAUUGCUUGUUGUUUACCUAGUUGACAAUCUACUGGGAAAAAGAAAUUCCUUUUCCAGAAAAGGUUUUCACCAAUUUCAAGGAAUCCUAAAUGAAUGUUAUUCUCAGAAGAGAACUCAAAAAGGAUUUCUAUGAAGUCUCUGGCAGAAAACCGAGAAAUUACAAAUGCAAGUGGUAUUUUCAUUUUCCUCUUUUAAAGACCACGAUGUAACAUGAGAAAACAAAAUACCAGAAGUGAAAGGCUGACUCCACUAAAGAUGUUCAAUAAUGAGAUUUGAUUGGGCUUUCAGGGCAUGGAAACAAGAUCAAGAAAGGUGUUUUUCUGGAGACUUUCCAAUCAAAGCAAUGAAGAUUUAAAGUGGAAUAAAAGGAUUGGGCAACAAAUAAAUCGAGUGUAAAAGAAGUCUGAUUCCUCAUUGCUGACAGGAAGACAGCCAUGGAUUGGGAAAAGAUUAGAGUGAAUCCUGUGAUGUUGGAUUGGGAUUGAAGAUACCGGUUUUUUUCAGAUUAUAGCAGAGACUUAAUAUUGGCAGCUUUGAAUACU
rnacentral:lncRNA from 10 species